UUCUUCUGCCUCAGCCCCCCAGGAGCCCCAUCCUGUAGACGAACCCACUCCUGGGAUCGGGCUUCGCCCGAUUUUUGCACCGGGUGCUGUUCCCUGCUCCCUGACUCCGGAUGAACUCCUACUGAUAAGGGUUCAAUAUGGAGUUCCUUUGGAGUACGACCUGGAACUCCCUGACCCCUCCGACCGGGCCAGCACUCCCCCAUC
rnacentral:lncRNA from 1 species